UACGGAGGGUGCGAGCGUUGUCCGGAAUCACUGGGCGUAAAGGGCGCGUAGGCGGCCUGGUAAGUAGGGGGUGAAAUCCUGCGGCUUAACCGCAGGGCUGCCUUCUAAACUGUCAGGCUCGAGCACGGUAGAGGCAGAUGGAAUUCCCGGUGUAGCGGUGGAAUGCGUAGAGAUCGGGAAGAACACCAGUGGCGAAGGCGACUACCUGGCCUGUUUCUUGACGCUGAGGCGCGAAAGCUAGGGGAGCAAACGGG
rnacentral:rRNA from 1 species